AGUGAACGCUGGCGGUAGGCCUAACACAUGCAAGUCGAACGGCAGCACAGUAAGAGCUUGCUCUUACGGGUGGCGAGUGGCGGACGGGUGAGGAAUACAUCGGAAUCUACUUUUUCGUGGGGGAUAACGUAGGGAAACUUACGCUAAUACCGCAUACGACCUACGGGUGAAAGCAGGGGAUCUUCGGACCUUGCGCGAUUGAAUGAGCCGAUGUCGGAUUAGCUAGUUGGCGGGGUAAAGGCCCACCAAGGCGACGAUCCGUAGCUGGUCUGAGAGGAUGAUCAGCGACACUGGAACUGAGACACGGUCCAGACUCCUAAGGGAGGCAGCAGUGGGGAAUAUUGGACAAUGGGCGCAAGCCUGAUCCAGCCAGACCGCGUGGGUGAAGAAGGCGUUCGGGUUGUAAAGCCCUUUUGUUGGGAAAGAAAAGCAGCAGGUUAAUACCCCGCUGUUCUGACGGUACCCAAAGAAUAAGCACCGGCUAACUUCGUG
rnacentral:rRNA from 1 species